UAAGGAAUAUUGCUCAAUGGGAGAAAUCCUGAAGCAGCAACGCCGCGUGGAGGAUGAAGGGUCUAUGACUUGUAAACUCCUGUAAAGAAGGAAAAAAUUCCCAUUUGAUGGGAGAUGAUGGUACUUCUGGAGUAAGCCCCGGCUAACUACGUGCCAGCAGCCGCGGUAAUACGUAGGGUGCAAGCGUUGUCCGGAAUUAUUGGGCGUAAAGAGCUCGUAGGCGGUUUGUCGCGUCUGCUGUGAAAACCCGAGGCUCAACCUCGGGCCUGCAGUGGGUACGGGCAAACUAGAGUGCGGUAGGGGAGAUUGGAAUUCCUGGCGUAGCGGUGGAAUGCGCAGAUAUCAGGAGGAACACCGAUGGCGAAGGCAGAUCUCUGGGCCGUAACUGACGCUGAGGAGCGAAAGCAUGGGGAGCGAACA
rnacentral:rRNA from 1 species